rnacentral:rRNA from 1 species
CCCUUAGAUGUCCGGGGCUGCACGCGCGCUACACUGAAGGAAUCAGCGUGCUAGAAAACCUUGUUUGACAUGGCUAGGUAACCCGUUGAAAAUCUUUCGUGAUUGGGAUCGGGACUUGCAAAUGUGCCCCUUGAACGAGGAAUUCCCAGUAAGUGCGGGUCAUAAGCUCGCGCUGAUUACGUCCCUGCCCUUUGUACACACCGCCCGUCGCUGCCCGGAACUGAGCCGUUUCGAGAAGACUGGGGACUGCGAACUUUGGGCUGGAAAACAGCUUUUUGUUUGUGGAAACCACUUUAAUCGCAGCGGCUUGAACCGGGCAAAAGUCGUAACA